rnacentral:lncRNA from 1 species
UACAUGGUGGAUUAUUUUCUUAACGUUGUGUUGUCUUAACAUUGUGUUAUCAGAAAUUACUGAUGCAGUGCAAAUAGCAAUGAGCAUAUUGUUCUUCCUGCAGGCACUCUGGGAAACCAGGGCUGUUGGGGAGCUCCUGGUGAUCCUUCUCACCUUCAGCAGUUUUAUUCAGGAAGGCCCCUAAGGAAGAGAUCAGCAGAAAGCCAGUGCACCAACAGAAUUACAUGCUAAUCCUCAGAGAGGUGCAGCAGAGGGAUAGAAGUGAAGAAUACAAAGCCUGCUGCAGCUGGACCAGGCUCCCUGGCACACCACAAGCUGUCACAGCACCCUGGCCUGUCACAGCACACAUUCUGAAAUCUGCUCCAGACGUUCAGCAGAGGGAGGUGAGGAGUCAAGAGGGUAAGGUAAGCUGUGAGGGGCACCCUGCUCCCCUUGCUCCUGUCCCAAACACAGUCCUCACCCCAGCUUCUGCCUUUUAUCUGCCUCCUGUCCUAUGAGUCCUGCUCCUAGGUCUUGGUCCCGUUCCCAUCCACUCCUCCUGCUCCCCAACAACCUUUGUUUCUUUUCCAUCAGCUUUUCAUUGCCCCAGUUUCACCACCUCUCCCCUCUUACUGUGAGUCCUUUGACCACAAACAAGGCUGGCAGAGGCAGAAUUUAUAUGCAGAUUUAGUCAGAGCAUAACUAAUAUUUCAUAUUACAGCUAUUUAAUACAACAUACACACAGAUUUAUGUUUAUAUGUCAUAUUAUUUUGACAUAUGCAAAAUAAACCAAGAGGCCCUCGGGAAUUGUUUUUUUUG